UGCCAGGCUAAGGUGGGUGUUGAGCCAGAACGGGUGAUGUCAGCUGUGCACUCCAGACCUCCAGUGCGCCUCCUCGGUCCAGGAUAUCCGGCGCCGCUUAUGCGCACUGUGUCGCCGGUGUGCGGUCACAGUCCAGUCCGGCCCGUCCCUGCUCCCCACACCAGGUUAGUGGUGCGUGUCCCCAGUCCUGUCCGGCCCGUCCCUGCUCCCCGCACCAGGUUAGUGGUGCGUGUCCACAGUCCUGUCCGGCCCAUCCCGGCUCCCCGCACCAAGCCGGUGGUGCGUGUCCCCAGUCCAGUCCGGCCCGUCCCUGC
rnacentral:lncRNA from 1 species